rnacentral:lncRNA from 13 species
ACUCUUUGUCUCCCUCUAAGCGUGUCAACCGUUCUUGGUUAGUCUCACCGUUCACAGGGGACCGCUGGUUUACCUACAGAGGAGUGGUCAGUUACUGGUCAAUUUGUGGUCAGUACAAAUACAACUGUGAAGUGAGAGGAGUUACCCACAGUGUCAGCUCUACCUUGAACCAGGGCUCUCUGAAAUGAAAGCUCAGACUCUGGAGAGAACAACAAGAACACACACACACACACACAGCACUGGUAUUACAUUUUAAAUAACCUAUUGUGGCCGUGAGUGUGGAAUUCUGUAAGAGGUUUAUGCUUCUUAAGCUUUCAUCAAAUGAUGUUGAACCUUUUAGUAUUCUAAUAAUUUGAUAUUUAUAAGUGCGCAAGACCUCGGGCCUUCCUAAAUAAUGGCUUAGCCAAAGAAUGAAACAAAAUUAGAGCAAAUUGCUGAGAAAUACAAACUUUUUUAAACCACAACCAUUGUAAGUUUGUGGCGCAGUGACCGUGAGGACUAUGUAAGAAUAGACUAUGUAAGAAUACUCUUCAGAUCUAACUGUUUUAGAUUCAGAAUCCACAGCAUAUGGCUGGAGUUUAACUUUCUUUACGAGUCAUAGGAAAAAGAAGACAAAGUAUGCAUAUAGCCAUAUAUCUUUUGAACAAUAGAAUAUGCAAAUACAUUCUCUCUUCAGCUAUUUCAAGUGCUGCAAAUAACACAUUUUUUCCCAACAUAAACAUUCUGUAAACAAGUCCAAAUAAGCAAGUCAGUUUGGUAAAAGAGAGAGAAAGAGAGACAGAGACAGAGACAGAGAGAGAGAGAGAGAGAGAGAGAGAGAGAGAGAGAGAUAGAAAAGAGAGUGAUUAAUAAAGUAGGAAUCAGAAAGAAAGAUACUAUAUCACUGUUAAUCUCCCUGAAACCUUCUAUCUUCUUUUUCCCCUCCUUCACUCUCUCUUGCUGCAGAGAGACUGUAGUGGGGAACCUAUGGUGUGCUGUGUCUGGUUCGGACCCUGGCUGUGUGGUUUGGAGCCCAGACAGAGGUAGGCUGAGAAGUGGCUAGUCUNNNNNNNNNNNNNNNNNNNNNNNUGUCGUCCAAUUGGGCCAGUGUCAUCCUAAAUGUAAAUCAAAUCAAAUCAAAUUUUAUUUGUCACAUACACAUGGUUAGCAGAUGUUAAUGCGAGUGUAGCGAAAUGCUUGUGCUUAUAGUUCCGACAAUGCAGUAAUAACCAACAAAUAAUCUAGCUAACAAUUCCAAAACUAUUACCUUAUAGACACAAGUGUAAGGGGAUAAAGAAU